rnacentral:rRNA from 1 species
UACAGAGGUCUCAAGCGUUGUUCGGAUUCAUUGGGCGUAAAGAGCUCGUAGGCGGCUAAGUAAGUCGGGUGUGAAAACUCCAGGCUCAACCUGGAGACGCCACCUGAUACUGCUUUGGCUAGAGUCCGGUAGGGGAGCAUGGAAUUCCUGGUGUAGCGGUGAAAUGCGCAGAUAUCAGGAGGAACACCAGUGGCGAAGGCGGUGCUCUGGGCCGGAACUGACGCUGAGGUGCGAAAGCGUGGGGAGCAAACAGG